AGAGUUUGAUCCUGGCUCAGGAUGAACGCUGGCGGCGUGCGUAACACAUGCAAGUUGAACGACGGUGCCAUGAAGUGGUAACACGGAGUGGUAUACGGAGUAGCGGACGGGUGAGUAAAGCAUGAGAAUCUGUCCUGUCGAGGGGGAUAACGUUCGGAAACGGACCCUAAUACCCCAUAGUCCGAGAGGUUAAAGGCAGCGAUGCGCGGCAGGAGGAGCUCGUGUCCUAUCAGCUGGUUGGUGAGGUAACGGCUCACCAAGGCAACGACGGGUAGCCGGCCUGAGAGGGUGACCGGCCACACUGGAACUGAGAAACGGUCCAGACUCCUACGGGAGGCAGCAGUGGGGAAUAUUGGGCAAUGGGAGGAAUCCUGACCCAGCGACGCCGCGUGAACGAAGACGGCCUUCGGGUUGUAAAGUUCUUUUAUGUGGGAAGAAUGAAGUGACGGUACCACAUGAAUAAGCCCCGGCUAACUACGUGCCAGCAGCCGCGGUAAUACGUAGGGGGCGAGCGUUGUCCGGAAUUACUGGGCGUAAAGGGCACGCAGGCUGUGCUUCAAGUCAGCUGUAAAAGGAUGCGGCUUAACCGUGUUAUGCGGCUGAGACUGAGGUGCUGGAGUACCGGAGAGGCAAGUGGAAUUCCCAGUGUAGCGGUGAAAUGCGUAGAUAUUGGGAAGAACAUCGGUGGCGAAGGCGACUUGCUGGACGGUAACUGACGCUGAGGUGCGAAAGCCAGGGUAGCGAACGGGAUUAGAUACCCCGGUAGUCCUGGCUGUAAACGAUGAAUGCUAGGUGUGCGAGCAGAGAUGUUGGUGUGCCGCAGUUAACGCGAUAAGCAUUCCGCCUGGGGAGUACGGUCGCAAGAUUGAAACUCAAAGGAAUUGACGGGGGCCCGCACAAGCGGUGGAGCACGUGGUUUAAUUCGAUGCAAACCGAAGAACCUUACCUGGGUUUGACAUGUAUGUGGUAGGAGAUGGAAACAUUGACGACGCUGCUUUCGGGCAGUGAGCAUACACAGGUGCUGCAUGGCUGUCGUCAGCUCGUGUCGUGAGAUGUUGGGUUAAGUCCCGCAACGAGCGCAACCCCUGUCCCGUGUUGCCAGCACGUUGUGGUGGGGACUCGCGGGAGACUGCCGGGGUCA
rnacentral:rRNA from 1 species